CCCCUAGAUGUUCUGGGCCGCACGCGCGCUACACUGAACAGUUCAACAAGUCUUAACCUUGGCCGAUAGGUCUGGGUAAUCUUUGAACGCUGUUCGUGAUUGGGAUAGACCUUUGCAAUUAUGGGUCUUCAACGAGGAAUUCCUAGUAAACGCAAGUCAUCAGCUUGCAUUGAUUACGUCCCUGCCCUUUGUACACACCACCCGUCGCACCUACCGAUUGAAUGGUCCGGUGAAAUCUCCGGACUGGCGUGAGUCGGAGCAAUCUGACAAACACCGGAAAGUUGAUUAAACCUUACCAUUUAGAGGAAGGUGAANUCGUAACA
rnacentral:rRNA from 1 species